AGAGCGCAGCAUUCAUAAUGCUGAUGUCCCAGGUUCAAGUCCCGGUGUAGCCACCA
rnacentral:tRNA from 1 species